AGCAGUUUGGGAAGCUGAGGCAGGAAGAUUGAGAGUUCAAAGUCAGCCUCAGAAAUUUAACAAGACCCUAAGCAACUCUGUGUGACCCUGUCUUUAAAUAAAAUACAAAAUAGGGCUGGGAUGUGGCUCAGUGGUUAAGUGCCCUUGAGUUCAAUCCCUGAUACCCCCCUCCCCCGCCAAAAAAGUAUGAGGAUGAAGCUGUAGCUCAGUGGUAGAGCAUUUGCCUAGCUUGUUCAAUGCUCUGAGUUCCAUCCCCAGCACUGCAAAAAAUAAAAAUAUAUUCUUAAGUUUAAAAUUGAGUCGAUCUAAGGAAAAAUAUUCAAAUUAUUAAACCAGUGAAAGUGAAGGGGAUGGAUUAUCAAUAACUAAAUUUGACCCCCACACACAUACACUCCACAUAGUGUCUUUGAAGCAGGGAGAACAGGAAUGAGGAAAGCCCAAGAAGGGGCCAAGCUUCUGCCAUGAUGUCUGAGGAGUGCAGGGCCUCUGUCAGAAAUGGCUCAUGGGGUGGGAAGAGAGCCUGAUGUGCCAGUGCUGGGCUGCCUUAAGCAGAACCCUCACUAUAGCCCCCCCACCCCAGCCUUCUCCUUUUGAAACAGGGCAGCCGUUGCCUGGCUCCUUUCCCGUUUUCCAUUGCUCUCCGUGCCCUUGCAGUAAUUAAUUAAUCUGGGCCUGUCUGCCACCCAAACUCCCUCCAGGCACUUCCUGGCUCUGUCUGUCACCCUGUGGAGUGGAUUGGGGCACUCCUUCACCCAAGGGUUUAGCUCCUGGUGUCUGAGAAGCAACUCUAGUCCUGACCCAGGAGGGAAGAUGGAGCCACAUUGGCACAGAAAAGUCUGCUUUCUUUCCAAACCCCAGCUGUGGGCCUUUCUUUGUUCUUUCUUUGUUCUUCUUGCUUCCCACAGUGAAAAUGCCCUUUUGUGUUGAGAUUACGUGCCAGCCCUCAGCCCACUUUGUCUUUCUGGACAUUUUCUGGGACAGCCCUUAACCUUCUUAACAUGUGGUCUCGGUCUCGGGACCAAGUAACUGCGAAGGUCCAGGAGCUAAGCUGGGAAAAAAAAAAUCUAUAUUUUUUUCUCUCUCUCCCUCUCUGCAAUAGUAGGGAUGUUUUACUACUGAGUUACACCCCCCACCCCCGUCCUUUUUAUUUUGAGACAGGAUCUCACUAAAUUGCCUAGGCUGGCCUUGGGCUUGCCAUCUUUCUGCCUCAGCCUCCUGAGUUACUGGGAUUAAAGGUUUGCACCACCAAGCAGGCCCCAUCUAUUGUUUCACCAACCUUUAACUGAAAUUUGAUAUGUCCUUCAAUUAUGAAUGGAAGCAGCAGAGUUAGAAGAAUUACCAAUUCCUUGACCCUCAUGAUAGAAAUCACAGGAAUUUUCAUCUAUUGUCAGUUACUUAAAAAUAGUUGUUACAUGGGGCUGGGAUUAUGGCUCAGUGGUAAAGUGCUCACCUAGCACGUGUGAGGCCCUGGGUUCAAUCCUCAGCACCACAUAAAAAUAAAUAAAUAAAUAAAUAAAGAUAUGUGUCCA
rnacentral:lncRNA from 1 species